ACUAGCUACUGAGGCCGCAGCAACAACGUGUGCGUUCGCUGUAAGCGCUAUGGCGGCGGUGAUGCAAUGGCAUCUAGCCGUCGUAUUCGCUGUGACGCCAUUUGCCAUGAGCUGUCCCUGUCCGCAGUACCAAUGCAAGCUGUUCCGGUACAACUGUGGGCCACUGCCAGAUCCAUGCGAAGGCCGGAUUGCGCUCGGCGCUGGUUUCUGCGGCUGCUGCCUUCAAUGCGUCAAGCAAAUCAGUCUCGGAGACCCUUGCGCUCCUCCGGGGCUCUGUCCAGGUCCUACUGAGUGCAAAGAAUCCCUGUACUGCGACCCAGACCAAAGAGCCUGCCUUCCUUUUCCUAAUCUGCCCACUAGAAACUACAACGACACGGACUCUUCGAGCCGAUCCGGGUCGUCUAAAUAGCCACGAGAACAAGCUGGUUCGCGCAGCGAUUCGGAAGUUGAAGGGCACUACUUUAAUAUUAAUAAAGGUCCAAAAUAGAGGUUAA